rnacentral:lncRNA from 1 species
AAUUUUUGUAGUUUUAGUAGAGACGGGGUUUCAUCAUGUUGGCCAGGCUGGUCUUGAACUCAGGUGAUCUGCCCGUCUCAGCCUCCCAAAGUGCCGGGAUUACAGGCGUGAGCCACCACGCCCCGCGGAUCCUAGGACUUUUGUAAACUCGCCUCUUUCCCAUAAUUCCUCUCUUUGGGCGAGCUUUCCGCAUGCGCAAUGCUUUCCGUACUGUUUAGAAUUGAACAUGCGCAGUGUGUUUAGGGAGUUAUACGCAUGCCCAUCUGAGGCUUUCUUCCUUUUCCGGUGGAGUAUAUGGGAGAUCAUACUAAGCAGUUUUUGUCUACCGUCUGGUUAAUUGUCUCUCAGAUGGACAUUCUUGGAUCUAAGCCUGGAAAGAAGUCAGCUUUGAAGGUCCUGACUCCCAGGGUGAUGCCAUGAAAUGACCCUACCCAAGUUGCCACUGUCUCUCUGGAUGGGAGCCAGACUGAAGACCCAGGGAGCACUCAGAAGCAACCAGAAGUCCUGAGUCCAGCUUAGUCCAGCCAAGCCAAGUUGCCCCAUGGACCCAAAUGUUUGUUCUUGAGAGCCACUGAGAUUUGGAGGUUGGUUGAUACAUAUUAAAACAUGACUAAUAUUUAGAGUUCAC